UGACAAUCUCUACAAUCAGCCACAGACCUGAAGACCUCGGCCAAAAAAUGGAAUGACACAUACGUUGAAGACCCUAGAGACGGAUAAAAAAUCUGAGUCCUUCCCCCUUCUCCAUCAGCGACAAGAACACCCAAAACUGAAGAAUCCCUUCAUAGCCGCCACUGCUUCUGAACCCCCUAAAAAUUUCAGCCGCAGACCACUCUAUCUCCUCCACACCUGGCCGUCGCUAUCCACCACCCUAAGAGAAAGCAAAUUCCAGCCGCCCAGACUCACUACACACACAUACACAAUCAGAAAAUUAAAAAAAAUCAGAACUAAGAGUGGCAGAGCAAAGGUGACGAGCACAACAAAAACAGUGCUAAUUUCUUCACUUCUAAUCUCAGAUGUUUGUUACCAAAUGGGGCCUAUUUGAGUCGAUUUCAUCAUGGUUGACGCUCAUUGUUCGAGUGUUUCGGUCAAGGUCCUGCUGCUCUUGUUCGGAGGUAUCGCUACUUAGGCCUAUUAUCCUUGAGGAGGCGACUGCUCUAGAGACUUCGAGAUGGUGAGGAAACGUGCUACACGAGAUGAUCAGGCACCUGUGCCCCCUACUACAGCUGUUAGAGGUCGGGCCCGAGGUAGAGGCCGAGGACGCGCACAUGGUGCAGCCAGGGCACUUGCGCGAGCUGCCGUCGAGGUAUCACCAGUGGAUCCAGCCAGAGUCUAAGCACCUGACACGCCUACUGCUACUACUACUCCAGCUCUUCAGGAGACUUUGGCACAGUUCAUGAGUAUGUACACCACUUUGGGUCAGGCAGGGUUGGUUCCCCUUGCUGCAGCUACGUCUCAGGAUGGGGGAGGAUCACAGACUCCUGCCGCCCGCACUCCUGAGCAGCGA